CAGCGCGCGGCAGCUCGGCAACAUGGUGCAUUUCUCCAUGUGUGGCAUGAAUGAAAGGAACUUGGCGGAAAAAAAAAAAAAAAAAA
rnacentral:ribozyme from 14 species